rnacentral:rRNA from 1 species
GAUGAACGCUGGCGGCGUGCCUAAUACAUGCAAGUCGAGCGAACAGACGAGGAGCUUGCUCCUCUGACGUUAGCGGCGGACGGGUGAGUAACACGUGGAUAACCUACCUAUAAGACUGGGAUAACUUCGGGAAACCGGAGCUAAUACCGGAUAAUAUAUUGAACCGCAUGGUUCAAUAGUGAAAGACGGUUUUGCUGUCACUUAUAGAUGGAUCCGCGCCGCAUUAGCUAGUUGGUAAGGUAACAGCUUACCAAGGCAACGAUGCGUAGCCGACCUGAGAGGGUGAUCGGCCACACUGGAACUGAGACACGGUCCAGACUCCUACGGGAGGCAGCAGUAGGGAACCUUCCGCAAUGGGCGAAAGCCUGACGGAGCAACGCCGCGUGAGUGAUGAAGGUCUUCGGAUCGUAAAACUCUGUUAUUAGGGAAGAACAAAUGUGUAAGUAACUAUGCACGUCUUGACGGUACCUAAUCAGAAAGCCACGGCUAACUACGUG